CGCGUGUGUGAAGAAGGCCUGAGGGUUGUAAAGCACUUUCAAUAGGAAGGAAUACCUAUCGGUUAAUACCCGGUAGACUGACAUUACCUAUACAAGAAGCACCGGCUAACUCCGUGCCAGCAGCCGCGGUAAUACGGAGGGUGCAAGCGUUAAUCGGUAUUACUGGGCGUAAAGCGUGCGUAGGCGGUUAUUUAAGUCAGAUGUGAAAGCCCUGGGCUUAACCUGGGAACUGCAUUUGAUACUGGAUGACUAGAGUUGAGUAGAGGACAGUGGAAUUUCAGGUGUAGCGGUGAAAUGCGUAGAGAUCUGAAGGAACACCAGUGGCGAAGGCGGCUCUCUGGACUCAAACUGACGCUGAGGUACGAAAGCGUGGGUAGCACACAGGAUUAGAUACCCUGGUAGUCCACGCCGUAAACGAUGUCAACUAACCGUUGGGUUCUUUAAGAACUUAGUGGUGGAGCUAACGUAUUAAGUUGACCGCCUGGGGAGUACGGCCGCAAGGCUAAAACUCAAAUGAAUUGACGGGGGCCCGCACAAGCGGUGGAGCAUGUGGUUUAAUUCGAUGCAACGCGAAGAACCUUACCUACCCUUGACAUGUAGCGAAUCCUUUAGAGAUAGAGGAGUGCCUUCGGGAACCUAACACGGGUCUGCUGGCUGCGUCAACUCGUGUCGC
rnacentral:rRNA from 1 species